CAGGCUUAACACAUGCAAGUCGAGGGGUAGAAGUCUUCGGGCUUUGAGACCGGCGCACGGGUGCGUAACGCGUAUGCAAUCUGCCUUUCACAGAGGGAUAGCCCAGAGAAAUUUGGAUUAAUACCUCAUAGCAUUACAGGAUGGCAUCAUCCUGCAAUUAAAGUCACAACGGUGAAAGAUGAGCAUGCGUCCCAUUAGCUAGUUGGUAAGGUAACGGCUUACCAAGGCGACGAUGGGUAGGGGUCCUGAGAGGGAGAUCCCCCACACUGGUACUGAGACACGGACCAGACUCCUACGGGAGGCAGCAGUGAGGAAUAUUGGUCAAUGGACGCAAGUCUGAACCAGCCAUGCCGCGUGCAGGAUGACGGUCCUAUGGAUUGUAAACUGCUUUUGCACAGGAAGAAACACUCCGACGUGUCGGAGCUUGACGGUACUGUGAGAAUAAGGAUCGGCUAACUCCGUGCCAGCAGCCGCGGUAAUACGGAGGAUCCAAGCGUUAUCCGGAAUCAUUGGGUUUAAAGGGUCCGUAGGCGGUCUUGUAAGUCAGUGGUGAAAGCCCAUCGCUCAACGGUGGAACGGCCAUUGAUACUGCAGGACUUGAAUUAUUGGGAAGUAACUAGAAUAUGUAGUGUAGCGGUGAAAUGCUUAGAGAUUACAUGGAAUACCAAUUGCGAAGGCAGGUUACUACCAAUUUAUUGACGCUGAUGGACGAAAGCGUGGGUAGCGAACAGGAUUAGAUACCCU
rnacentral:rRNA from 1 species